AUGGCUAACAAGGAAAAGUACAUAAGAAAUAUUAGGGAGGAAGAGAGUGUCCAGUAUGAGGUACAGCUGGUGGAGACUGGAGGAGGCUUAGCGCAGCCUGGAAAGUCCUUGAAACUCUCCUGUGCAGCCUCUGGAUUCACUUUUAGUGAUGCUGCCAUGACCUGGGUCCGCCAGGAUCCAGAAAAGGGACUGGAGUGGGUUGCUCGCAUAAGAUAUAAACCCAAUAAUUAUGUAACCUAUUACUCAGAUUCGGUGAAAGGCAGAUUCACCAUAUCCAGAAAUGAUUUCCAAAGCAUGGUCCACCUGCAAAUGAACAACCUGAGAACUGAGGACACGGCCACUUAUUCCUGUCGUAAUGACACAGUGAGGAUUCUUUGGUGUGAUCCCAAACACCUCCCUGACAUGUUUACGAAUCCCGCAGGGGGCGCUCAGCACACAUAA